rnacentral:misc_RNA from 1 species
GAAAUGCGAUAAGUAAUGUGAAUUGCAGAAUUCAGUGAAUCAUCGAAUCUUUGAACGCAUCUUGCGCUCCUUGGUAUUCCGAGGAGCAUGCCUGUUUGAGUGUCAUGAAAUCAUCAACCUCACCGGCUUUGUUGCUUUGGUGUAGGCUUGGAUUUGGGGAUUAUUGCGGGCCUUCCUCAGGGGGGUCGGCUUCCCUUGAAUGUAUUAGUCGGAUUUGCCCUCCGUAUCCGAGCGGUGUGAUAAACGUCAUUCAUCGAUCGGCGGUGGCUGUGUUCGGCUUCUAACCGUCGCCUCAGGCGACAAGCUUUCUUGACUCAAUCUGACCUCAAAUCAGGUAGGACUACCCGCUGAACUUAA